GUCAUGAACAUUACUGUUAAUGACAAGACUCCCAGAAACCCCACUACUGAAGACCUCUAAGAUUUAAAAAUGGGAUGGUCUAGCAUAUUGCUUUUAGGCAAUGUUCUAAUCCUAUGGUCCUAUAUUGCCAAAGGAGAAAAAGAAAUAACAUGCAGACCUCCUUCUAUUGAAAAUGGUGACUACUCACCUAAAAGGAUCAAACACAGAGCUGAUGAUGUAAUCAGAUACAGAUGUGAAAAUGGCUUCUCUCCUGCAACCCGGGAAACUGUUGUAAAAUGUACAAGUACUGGCUGGAUCCCUGCUCCAAGAUGUAGCUGGAAACCUUGUGAUUUUCCACGAAUCAAAAAUGGAGGUCUAAAUGAUGAAGAGAACCACAGAUUCUACAGCUACUACUUCCCAGCACUUAGAGGAAAGAAGCUCAGCUAUUAUUGCAAAAAAGGAUUUUUGACUCCUUCAGGGACAAACUGGGACUACAUUCGCUGCACUGCACAAGGGUGGGAGCCUGCUGUCCCAUGCCGCAGACAAUGAGGUUUGCAUUAUGUAGAAAAUGGGCAAUUUUUACAACAGACAGAAAACUACAUACAGGACCAGUAUGUAAGAGUCCAGUGUUACUCUGGCUACAGUAUUCCAAAUGGUUAGGACACAGUUACAUGUACAGAGACUGGUCUCCUCAACCCAAAUGCAUCCAUGUUAAAGCAUGUUCAAAGUCAGAUAUAGAAAUUGAGAAUGGUUUUUUUCUGAAUCUGAUCUUGCAUAUCAUCUAAAUAAAACAACACAGUAUAAGUGCAAACAGGGAUAUGUAACAGCAAAUGGGAAAACAUCAGGACCAAUUACUUGUCUACAAAAUGGAUGGUCAGC